CGCGUAUGCAACCUACCUUCCACUGGGGAUAGCCCACCGAAAGGUGGAUUAAUACCGCAUAUGACCACAGGAGGGCAUCCGAUUGUGGUAAAAGCUUUGGCGGUGGAAGAUGGGCAUGCGUGCCAUUAGCUAGUUGGCGGGGUAACGGCCCACCAAGGCUACGAUGGCUAGGGGUUCUGAGAGGAUGGUCCCCCACACUGGUACUGAGACACGGACCAGACUCCUACGGGAGGCAGCAGUAGGGAAGUAUUGGGCGAAUGGCCGAGAGGCUGACCCAGCCAUGCCGCGUGCAGGAAGAAG
rnacentral:rRNA from 1 species